UAAGGUGCGUGGAGCUUCGGCCUUCGUUGCUUGUGAUACCUUUUGCUUCUGGAGCGUACUUUUCCGUGUGGUAGGUCAACAUCGGUUUCGAUUGCCAUAAAAUGACCGGAGGAAUGUGGCUUCGAUCUUGUAUUGGAGUGUUAUAGCCUCUGGUAGAUGUGGUGGUUGGGAUCGAGGAUUGCAACGAAUACCCUUUGGGCUAUCCGCCUGACCUCUGAAAGUUGCUUGGGUACCGAAAGCUUGCUUACGGUCAUUCAAGUUGGCGGUCAAAAGGUUAGAACGUGAUUAAAUUCGUUAAGGAUGUUGACGUAA
rnacentral:rRNA from 1 species